rnacentral:lncRNA from 1 species
AUCAAAUACCUACUACUUGUAACUUACCAUUGUUGGAAUUACGAAAAGCUAUAGGUAAGGGAGGUAAAACGGCCACAGCUAGAGCACAAGGGGGCAAAGAACCAAUGCGAGCAGGUCCACUCGUCAUCGGAGAGACUCGUAAGAAAACGUAUAAAAUAAAAGCAAACAGUCUUCUUCGAAUGUUGGCGAUCAUCAUGACAAUCUUUAUCUUGUCUGCAGCAACGCAGAAAAGCUGCACAGAUGUUGUAUUGAACCAAGUUCUGAGGUUCUUUAACCAGAAUGUUGGAAGGCAUAGCUGGAUUCAUUUCGCAUAAUGAAUAUCGCGUGAAUGAGUAUUGUAACUUUCGAGAUUUGAUGAUGGGCAGUACCUAUUGGUUCUUCAUAAUUCUUCUGAGGACAUCAUCAUUUGUGGCUCGCUCAGUCUAUGAGAUCGAAAGUAUUCUCCGAAAGAGUAAUGACUGAAAAACUCGGUAACUGAGCUUUGGCUAGAUAGCGAGGAAAGAGCUGAAGGAGUGGUUUAACAGAUCAUCUGCAUCCCUUUUCUGAGCUGCCAUCAACAGAAUUAGCAUAGCCAAUUUGACAGCUAACGCACGAUAAUCGAGCAUAGCACAGGAAGAAGAAGAAUGUUUGUUCCAAUAUCUUUCACCAUAGCCAUAAAGUUUCUAAAGGAGGAGGCAAUCUAGAAAAGUGGUGGCAUACAGAAAAACAUGGAAAAUGGAGGUGAUGACCUAUACAAUGUAACAAAGCCAAGAGAAAAUUGUUUAAAUAUAAAUAAACAUGUGUCAAAACACAAUUAAUACAGUUAUUAAGAUGUAAAACAUAAAAAACUGUAAUUUAUAAAUAUUUCAAAACCUUUAUUACAAAAAUGCGAUAGAUUGUUUUGACUCCAAUAACAAUUAUUCUU